rnacentral:rRNA from 1 species
AGUAGGGAAUAUUGGGCAAUGGGCGCAAGCCUGAUCCAGCCAUGCCGCGUGCAGGAAGAAGGCCUUCUGGGUCGUAAACUGCUUUUGCCGGGGGAUAAAAAGGUCCUGCGGGGCAAAUUGAAGGUACCCGGUGAAUAAGCCACGGCUAACUACGUGCCAGCAGCCGCGGUAAUACGUAGGUGGCGAGCGUUGUCCGGAUUUAUUGGGUUUAAAGGGUGCUUAGGCGGCCCUGUAAGUCAGCGGUGAAAUACGGCAGCCCAACUGUCGAGGUGCCGUUGAUACUGCGGGGCUUGAGUACCGAUGAGGCAGGCGGAAUUGACGGUGUAGCGGUGAAAUGCUUAGAUAUCGUCAAGAACACCGAUAGCGAAGGCAGCUUGCCAAGGGGUAACUGACGCUGAGGCACGAAAGUGCGGGGAUCAAACAAGAUUAGAUACCCUGGUAGUCCGCACAGUAAACGAUGGUCACUCGGUGCCGGCGAUAUACAGCCGGUGCCUUAGCGAAAGCGAUAAGUGACCCACCUGGGGAGUACGCCCGCAAGGGUGAAACUCAA